rnacentral:rRNA from 1 species
GAUCAUGGCUCAGGACGAACGCUGGCGGCGUGCUUAACACACGCAAGUCGAACGAGAAUCUGUGGAUCGAGGAUUCGUCCAAGUGAAGCAGAGGACAGUGGCGGACGGGUGAGUAACGCGUGAGGAACCUGCCUUUCAGAGGGGGACAACAGUUGGAAACGACUGCUAAUACCGUAUGAUACAUUUGGGUGGCAUCAUCUGAAUGUCAAAGAUUUAUCG